rnacentral:rRNA from 1 species
GACGAACGCUGGCGGCGUGCUUAACACAUGCAAGUCGAAAGAAGUGGCGAACGGGUGAGUAACGCGUAAUCAACCUGCCCUUCAGAGGGGGACAACAGUUGGAAACGACUGCUAAUACCGAAUACUGAAGGAGGGGUGUGCGUCUGAUUAGCUAGUUGGAGGGGUAACGGCCCACCAAGGCGAUGACAAGUAGCCGGUCUGAGAGGAUGAUCGGCCACACUGGGACUGCGACACGGCCCAGACUCCUACGGGAGGCAGCAGUGGGGAAUCUUCCGCAAUGGACGAAAGUCUGACGGAGCAACGCCGCGUGAGUGAUGACGGCCUUCGGGUUGUAAAGCUCUGUUAAUCGGGACGCGGUACCGGAAUAGAAAGCCACGGCUAACUACGUGCCAGCAGCCGCGGUAAUAC